AGAUCGUUUUGGAGACAGUUUCUGAGUAAUCCCUUAUAGCGCUCCCAUGCCUCAUCCAAUGAUUCUCCCAUGUUUUGCUUGAAAUUCGUGAUAUCCUUCUUUAAUUU